UACGAAGGGGGCUAGCGUUGUUCGGAAUUACUGGGCGUAAAGCGCGCGCAGGCGGCUAUCCAAGUCAGUGGUGAAAGCCCGGAGCUCAACUCCGGAACUGCCAUUGAAACUGUUUAGCUUGAGGAUGAGAGAGGUGAGUGGAAUUCCCAGUGUAGAGGUGAAAUUCGUAGAUAUUGGGAAGAACACCGGUGGCGAAGGCGGCGACCUGGUCCUUGACUGACGCUGAGGCACGAAAGCGUGGGGAGCAAACAGG
rnacentral:rRNA from 1 species